CCCCCCCCCCCCCCCCCCCCCCCGCACACACAGAGCAAUUGAAGAAUAGACAAUAACAAUCCAUUUUUUCAAUGGUCUUUGGCGACCCCUGGCAAAUUGUCAAUCGAACCCCAAGAAGUCACGACCCACAGGUUGAGAACCCCUGAGUUAGAUAGAAGUUUAGAUAGACAACAUACACAUGAUUUGUAUUCAACACUAGUGUUUGUAUUUUCUUUAAGUAUGACUUUCAAUAAAGCUCUUUUUCAAAGAAAGGAGUGUGAGGUUAGAGAAUGAACUCUUUGUCUCAAGAGUUUAACAAAUUCCAUGUAUCACGGAUUUAAGAAUGAUCAAAUAAACAGUAUUACACAAAACCCAAAGUCUUGUUUUCUUCUUAGUGCAUUUUUUAUUUCUUAGACCUCAAGUAAAAGUUGAAAAUGUCAACUUCAUUUUUACUUUAGCCUCUAGUGUGCUGGAUGCAAAGGUUUACAUACAAUUAGACGUAACAUCCUUUUCAUAACUUGAAAUUGUCAUAGUCAAACAUUAAAGAUUUUUUUAAAGUCA